rnacentral:rRNA from 1 species
UACAGAGGUCCCAAGCGUUGUUCGGAAUCACUGGGCUUAAAGGGCGCGUAGGCGGGCUCGCAAGUCAGGGGUGAAAGCCCGCGGCUCAACCGCGGAAGCGCCUUUGAUACUGCGGGCCUCGAGGGGGGUAGGGGCGUGCGGAACUUCCGGUGGAGCGGUGAAAUGCGUAGAUAUCGGAAGGAACACCGGUGGCGAAAGCGGCGCGCUGGACCCCUUCUGACGCUGAGGCGCGAAAGCCAGGGGAGCAAACGGG